GUUUGAUCCUGGCUCAGGAUGAACGCUAGCGGCAGGCUUAACACAUGCAAGUCGAGGGGUAUAGUUCUUCGGAACUAGAGACCGGCGCACGGGUGCGUAACGCGUAUGCAAUCUACCUUUUACAGAGGGAUAGCCCAGAGAAAUUUGGAUUAAUACCUCAUAGUAUAAUGAGUUGGCAUCAACACAUUAUUAAAGUCACAACGGUAAAAGAUGAGCAUGCGUCCCAUUAGCUUGUUGGUAAGGUAACGGCUUACCAAGGCAACGAUGGGUAGGGGUCCUGAGAGGGAGAUCCCCCACACUGGUACUGAGACACGGACCAGACUCCUACGGGAGGCAGCAGUGAGGAAUAUUGGACAAUGGGCGCAAGCCUGAUCCAGCCAUGCCGCGUGCAGGAUGACGGUCCUAUGGAUUGUAAACUGCUUUUGUACAGGAAGAAACACUGGUUCGUGAACCAGCUUGACGGUACUGUAAGAAUAAGGAUCGGCUAACUCCGUGCCAGCAGCCGCGGUAAUACGGAGGAUCCAAGCGUUAUCCGGAAUCAUUGGGUUUAAAGGGUCCGUAGGCGGUCAGAUAAGUCAGUGGUGAAAGCCCAUCGCUCAACGGUGGAACGGCCAUUGAUACUGUCUGACUUGAAUUAUUAGGAAGUAACUAGAAUAUGUAGUGUAGCGGUGAAAUGCUUAGAGAUUACAUGGAAUACCAAUUGCGAAGGCAGGUUACUACUAAUGGAUUGACGCUGAUGGACGAAAGCGUGGGUAGCGAACAGGAUUAGAUACCCUGGUAGUCCACGCCGUAAACGAUGGAUACUAGCUGUUGGGAGCAAUCUCAGUGGCUAAGCGAAAGUGAUAAGUAUCCCACCUGGGGAGUACGUUCGCAAGAAUGAAACUCAAAGGAAUUGACGG
rnacentral:rRNA from 1 species